AGUUGUCAUUAGCAUAAAAGUCAUAUUAUCAACGAGGGAAAUUGGCACAACCAGACAUCUCAAACAUUGAUAAACAUUGAUAAGGGAAGAAUUAGGCCUUCAUUAGGAUAUUCCUUUCAUCCGCAUGGCAAGGCUUGCCAGUUUCCUGGAGUACACUCGCAUCUGGUUUGAUUCCAAGUAGGUCCUCCCCUAAAGUCGCUUUCAUGUUACCAAGAGGCACGGAUUUAAGCUGUGGAAAUAACGUCUAGUAAAAAUGACCCCUGCAUCGGGGGAGCUUUGGUGUACUGCACUCAAAUAGGUCGAGUAAAGCUGUUCAUCGAAGCUAGUAUGAUGGCUUCGUAGUGAGUGUUGUUGUUGGGAUUUGGAUAUGGAAUCUCCAGGUUGUUACUCGUAUGACUCAACGCUUAACCACCCUUUUAGGACAAUGAAACUUUAUUAUUGCUUCUAGCAAGUUUCUUUUUCCGAUGUGCUAGUUUGUUCAGGGUGUUAACUGUUUAUUCUGAGUAGAGAAUGCAUAAAUAUCAGCCAGUUGCCAGCUUAUUGAAAUUAUACUUUUUGUUUGUUACCUUUGCUACCAUCUGAUAGUUACACGUGGGAAUUUGGAAGGUUUUAUCUGCAUCAUCAACAUAAACUCUCUUAAACUGCAAGUUUGAAUUACACAUAAUUAUUGGUAAUUUUGAAAACGAAAGAGAUUCAUGGUCUACAAAAUGUUACAGAAUUUUGAAGCUAGGGCUUGGGGGCGUGUAUUUCUUCAUUUUGUGUCCCGUUUUCUCUAAAAUAGAUAAGUUUCUUCACUAUACUGAACUAAGCUUACAAAUUUUUCAACUUCCUAUGACUAGUGAUAAAUUUGCAGCAAAAGCAGUCAUUUUGCUUAAUUGAUUUCUGCAGUGGGCUAGUAGCCGAGGCUGAUAUAGAACUUUUUCAGCUUUUAUAGAUAUCAUAUCUUUCGUCUACUGCUGCCUCUGGAAAUUUGUUCCAACUUCCAGAAUGUAGGAAGC
rnacentral:lncRNA from 1 species